GCAGUGACGGCCAGGACCGAAGAGCCAAGUAAGAAUCCGCCAUUUCCACCGUCUCUCUCUCUCACUCUCCCUGCCUCCGGGGGUGAUAUGGCGAGGGCGUCUCAUGCUUAGUGACGCGGUUGAUAUCGGAUUCGGGGAGUGGCCUCCGGAGCCGUCGGAUCCGGGUGGGGUUGCAGCCGCCGCCGUUCUCCCUCUAGUUGCGAUUUAAUGAUCCCCUCACGUCCGUGCGUCGCCACCAACAGCGAAAUAGGAGCGGGCGAGGAAGACGAGAUCGAGAGACGGAGCUUCACUCGUCCCACCCAGUUGUCCCGCUCGUCGAAAACCCCUACCUUUGCUCCUCAGGCGAUCGAUCCCGUCGUCGGGCCCUGCCCCCAGAUAAGAGUUUUUGGUCCUUCCGCAGCUACUCAAGUGCUCGGCCUAUUGUCAGAGCUGGAAUGGAGGGCAUAAAUGAGCAUGCUUCUGAUGAUUCUUGGUGUGAUGAUGGGCUUCUGAAUGAAAUCUCAGAUGCUGACUUAAACAGAGAACAGAAGAGGCGUUAUGAUCAAUUUUAUACAGUAUCCUUGCAAUCUAUAAAUG